AGCUCCAAUAGCGUAUAUUAAAGUUGCUGCAGUUAAAAAGCUCGUAGUUGCAUUUCCGAGGCAAGGGAUUAGUCCGACCUUUGGUGGGUAUUUAAUCCUCUUGCCUCGUCCUUGAGUGGUGCUUCUUGGUAUUAAGUUAUCGAGGAGAUAGCCGCUCAUCGUUUACUGUGAGAAAAUUAGAGUGUUCAAAGCAGGCUUAUGCCGUUGAAUAUAUUAGCAUGGAAUAAUAAGAUAGGACCUCGGUACUAUUUUGUUGGUUUGAGAACCAAGGUAAUGAUGAAUAGGGACAGUUGGGGGUAUUCGUAUUCAGUUGUCAGAGGUGAAAUUCUUAGAUUUAUUGAAGACGAACUACUGCGAAAGCAUUUACCAAGGAUGUUUUCA
rnacentral:rRNA from 1 species